rnacentral:tRNA from 2 species
GGCAUUGUGGCUGAGUGGCUAGGCUAGGCCCCGCAAAGGCUUAUACAGUGGUUCGAUUCCAUUCGAUGCCU